CACAGGUAGCCAUGGCCACUGCUUCAUUCCUAACAGCUGCAGUUGAAGGACAGAUGUGGGGCUCAGCACACAGCCCUGCACCCAAUGGCAGAGAUGCACCGCAGCUGAAGAAUGGAGCUUGGGGCCCUGAGUUCCACAGAAUGAAGAGGCUCGAGCACCCACCUCUGUAAAGUCCAUGCUGAACUUUAAUCACCAUUGUGACAGCAUUAAAGGGUGGGACCUCUGCUGGGUGCCCGCCUUUACUCUCAGCACUUGAGGCAGAGGCAGGCGGGUCUUAUCUACAGAGAGUGAGUUACUGAGACUGGAUUGCUGGAAGAGCAAGCCCUCCUCUGACUGACUGCCUCUCUCCACCCUUCUGUCUCAUUGUGACAAAGCACAGAGGCUUCAUUUGAUGAGCACCAUGCCUUCAGACUUCCCAGCCCCCAGAGCUUGGCAAGAUCGGAGAUGUGCCCAGGAUGAUUGCCCAGUGUCAAAGGACUAGAGGCGAGGAUCAUCCCAGAGGAGGAGAACAACCCCACCCCACCCAUCGCCUGCUCAUUAGUGUCUUGGCCCACUUUCAACCGCCUAGAACGGCCAGGUUCUGAUGAGGCACGAGAUGGGCAUGGCCCUCGAGGCACACAGUCCGGUGACAAAACAGCCUGUGAGGAGAGCAGAAUGGCUCAGCUGCGGGUGCUGCUCACCAUCGAGUCCUAUGCCCUGAGUUGAUCGUGGGAACCCACAUGGUGGAAGCGGAGAACUGACUCCCAUGAGUUGUCCUCUGGCCUCCACACAGAUAA